GCAGCACGCCCACGCAGCUACAAGCCUGCAGAAGAUUUCCUUUCUACACACCUGGAAAUGAUGAGGGCGAGCUGCGUAAAAAAACAGUUGGACCCAGGGAUCCUCGCGGGAACUUAGUUCUCAUAUGGUGAACCUAGUUUUUCAUGGUGUACCUGUUUUCCUUCCGUUGCCCUGGAUCUCGACUGCCUCCCUUGUUCCUCGACUCCUCGCUCGUCCCACGACUCUGACGCCUCUCUCUCGCCCCGGAUCUCCUGCAUGCCCCAUGGACUGCCUCGUUCCUUCCGUCCUCAUUCAACAUUUACGGUAACACUUAACAGUUAAUCUGCACACAUAGUCACACACAUACACUCUUGGAUUUUGUCACACACCAUUCUAUUGAUUAUUAGUAUUGUUAAUUAUUAUUAUUAUUAUUAUAUGUAUAUAUGUUUACUAUAUAUAUGAUAAAUCAUUGGACAUUACCGCACCCUGAUGUCAGUCUGCUGUCAUCUCUCUUGCAAACCAUAACAGAAAUUUAGCAAAUUGUUGAAUAAUGUAUGACUAAAUUGGAAACAAACUAGUUUUAUUUUAGAUUGGCGGGCAAGCUCACCUGUGCGUACAACAAAAGUAGUGGUAGGGUAAGCAGUCUUGCCCCUUUGCUACCGUCUUUAAUACUAAACAGAAUUCAGUACAGUUUGAGUCAUUUGGAAAUAUUAAUUAAGCCCCACUUGCUGUUGCACAGAUGUUCUGAUGAUUAGCUUACAGAAGACGCUUCAAGGUAGUUGUAUUUUUACCAGAGAAAAUGGAGCCAAAGGGUUUAUGUGUCUUGUUGUCGACCUUGCAAAGGUAAAAUGUGUCUGUGGAGAGGCGGAGCCAGAACUCCGACAGCGAGGCAGGGCACACCGGAACCCGGCCCAAGAUGGCGGCGAGGAGGCGUGGACUGCGAGCAAGCAGCGAGGCGUGGCGCGCUGGAGUCAAAUAUUAUCAGGUGCGUGGGUCGCCCAGCUGGGCACAAUUUAAAUCUCCUCUCACACUGUAUUAAAGGGCAGCGGCCGUAAACGCCGGGGGGAGAGAGGGAGAGAGAAAGGAGCCAGAAGGAAGCCGAUGCUGAGCGCGAGAGGUAAAGAGCUCAAGGAAGACGAUGCAUGCAGCCGAAAAGCUGGAGCAGAAGAGCGAGCGGAAUUAAAUUAAGACUGGCUGGACAGCAGUAGUGUUGAAUAUCUUAAAAUGUGUUGUACGGCAAUUCCAACAUUGACCACGGUGCCAGCUGGAAAGUAGAGUGGCGCUUUUUAUCAUUUUCAGCAGUGUGCAUUGUCGAGAUCCACCGGCAAUGGGGACAUAUGAAUCUCUUCCCUACUGUAAAUAUGAAUAAUUUCUAAUGUAUGGAUCGAAUGAAUUAAAUGGUAAAUGUGU